rnacentral:tRNA from 2 species
GGAGGUAUAAGUUAAGUUUAUUAAACUGUGUGGUUCAUGUUCACGUAAUACGGAUAUCGUUUCCUCCU